rnacentral:rRNA from 1 species
CUGCAGCUCGAGUGGUGAUCGCUAUUAUUGGGCCUAAAACGUCCGUAGCCGGUUUAGUAAAUGCCUGGGUAAAUCGUGUAGCUUAACUAUACGACUUCCGGGUAGACUGCUAAACUUGAGACCGGGAGAGGCUAGAGGUACUCCUGGGGUAGAGGUGAAAUUCUGUAAUCCUAGGGGGACCACCAGUGGCGAAGGCGUCUAGCUAGAACGGGUCUGACGGUGAGGGACGAAGCCCUGGGGCACAAACCGGAUUAGAUACCCGAGUAGUCC